CCCUUAGAUGUUCUGGGCCGCACGCGCGCUACAAUGAUGAAUUCAACGAGUUUAUAACCUUGGUUGAAAAGCCUGGGUAAUCUUUUGAACUUUCGUCGUGAUGGGGCUAGACCCUUGCAAUUAUUGGUCUCCAACGAGGAAUUCCUAGUAAACGCAAGUCAUCAGCUUGCAUUGAUUACGUCCCUGCCCUUUGUACACACCGCCCGUCGCACCUACCGAUUGAAUGGUCCGGUGAAAUCUUCGGAUUGAGACUUUGAUUUCUUCACGGAAAACGCUGUUUUAAAAAGUUGAUUAAACCUUACCAUUGAGAGGAAGGUGAAGUCGGAACA
rnacentral:rRNA from 1 species